rnacentral:rRNA from 1 species
GCACAACGCGAAGAACCUUACCAGGCCUUGACAUGCAGAGAACUUUCCAGAGAUGGAUUGGUGCCUGCGGGAACUCUGAGACAGGUGCUGCAUGGCUGUCGUCAGCUCGUGUCGUGAGAUGUUGGGUUAAGUCCCGCAACGAGCGCAACCCUUGCCCUUAGUUGCCAGCAUUAAGGUGGGAACUCUAAGGGGACCGCCGGUGACAAACCGGAGGAAGGUGGGGAUGACGUCAAGUCAGUCAUGGCCCUUAUGACCAGGGCUACACACGUGCUACAAUGGCCAGUACAAAGGGUUGCCAACCCGCGAGGGGGAGCCGAAUCCCGAUAAAGCUGGUCGUAGUCCGGAUCGCAGUCUGCAACGUCGACUGCGUGAAGUCGGAAUCGCUAGUAAUCGUGAAUCAGCAUUGUCACGGUGAAUACGUUCCCGGGUCUUGUACACACCGAGUCGUGGGAGGCAA